rnacentral:rRNA from 1 species
AGUGAACGCUGGCGGCAGGCCUAACACAUGCAAGUCGAACGGCAGCACAGUAAGGGCUUGCUCUUACGGGUGACGAGUGGAGGACGGGUGAGGAAUACAUCGGAAUCUACUUUUUCGUGGGGGAUAACGUAGGGAAACUUACGCUAAUACCGCAUACGACCUACGGGUGAAAGCAGGGGAUCGUCGGACCUUGCGCGAUUGAAUGAGCCGAUGUCGGAUUAGCUAGUUGGCGGGGUAAAGGCCCACCAAGGCGACGAUCCGUAGCUGGUCUGAGAGGAUGAUCAGCCACACUGGAACUGAGACACGGUCCAGACUCCUACGGGAGGCAGCAGUGGGGAAUAUUGGACAAUGGGCGCAAGCCUGAUCCAGCCAUACCGCGUGGGUGAAGAAGGCCUUCGGGUUGUAAAGCCCUUUUGUUGGGAAAGAAAUCCAGCCGGCUAAUACCUGGUUGGGAUGACGGUACCCAAAGAAUAAGCACCGGCUAACUUCGUG